rnacentral:lncRNA from 1 species
GAAGGCAUGCAUGCAUUCUCCCUCUUUAGAUGUAACCCCGCCCAACACAUCCAGCAUGUGGAAUACAUAUGAUUAUGCAGAAGCACCUCCCUCCCUGUACUGAUAGUUUCCUCCCUGGAUGUCGAAUUUACUCAUUCAAUCAAGAGUGAGUUCCUAAAAAGGGAAAAAUAAGAACCUGUCUCUGUCCUGGAGCCUGGCACAGUCCAGUGAGAUGAAAGAAAUAGAAAACAGCUUAUUAGUACACUAGGCAAUAAGCCUAUAGCAGGAAAAACUAGAAAAUUCCAGAUGAAAUCAGAGGAGAGAGUGAUGGACUCUGAAAUAUUGUGAGAAGAUUGGACUAAAGAGUUGACAUCUGAAAUCGGUUUUGAUACAUUACAGACCAAGUGAAGCUUUAUCCAGAUGUUCAUGACUUUGAUCUAGAAUGGAUGGCAAGUAUAUUUAUCAAGACAUUAAUUGUCUUCUAACCACCAGCUCUUGCAUAUAACCACGUCAUGAAUAAAAACUUUAAAAAUCAAGUUAUUGCCAGUCUAGAAAUAUGCAAAAUAUUUUGUUUCCUUACAUUGAUUAUAGACUCUGGUUAAUGUUUGAUCUAGAAUGAAUAGGUGAUAUCUUGCAUAUCACUGGUUUUCCAGAAUCUUUGAAAUAUAUAUUUUUAUUUCUAAAUAGACUUAUUCAGAAACAUACUUAUACAUUUAAAGAAUGUAUAAAAUAAAACAAUCUGCUUUGUAGCAGCCUUGGUUGCAUCACUUUUGUGAUAAUAUAUGUAAUAAAUUUAUUAAGGUAAGACUGUUAUUUUUCUUACUCCUUCCUAUUUCUUAGUAGUGUUAUGUGCACAAAAUGGAUUCUGAUGAUUUUAACAAAUAAAUAUGUACCACUAAUAUGUGUAAGCAAGUAUUCUAGGUUCCUCAUGAACAAGUAUCAGUGCUAUAUAAUUUAUUUAAUUGUAUAGAUAAUUCAGUAUGUAGAUGUAAUUAUGACCAAUGUUUAUAAUGUGUUGUGUGCUUCAGUUACUGUCAUUUUACUUUAACCAACUACAAAAUCUUAAAAAGUGUGAGUCAGAAGCUGAGUGCUAAUUGGUAUUCUAGGUUUUCAGAACGGCAUAAGAGUAGAAUAAAUGUCGUUGCCUACUUUUAAGGUACUUGUCACCUAUAUAGGGUGAAAAACCAAGAACAGGUCAAUGCCCUUUGGAGCUCCAGGCCUUACCUUGGGAGGAACAUUAAGCACAGGGGAUUUCAUCUUUUAGGCCUCCAUGACAUUGUUCCUGGCACAGAAAAUUCUCUUUAUCAUUUGCUGAUAGA